GAUUUAUACAUUUUGAGCAAAUAUCAAUUUUGAUCCCACUAACAUUAGCGGAAUGAUAGUUUUGGUCCACAUGUUUAAUCACUUGUCAAUUUUCAUCAAACGACUAUUGCUUUCAUGCCAGUCACUGCUUUGGCUAAAACACGUCAGGAUGUGAAAUUGCAAAGCUGUUUGAUCCUCCACGGCAUGACAGUGCAGAGACCUUUAGGAGGGCUCUAAAUCUUGGAGUAAAUGUUAAAAUGAUUACCGCGGAGCGCUUUGCUCCCUAAUGCAGCAAAGGUAUGAAGUGCCACCCAAUUUUAGAAGGUUAUUGAGUUCAAAGAUGAGAAGACUUGUAUUACAAGGGAAAGUUCAAAAGGAGUGCAUAUUGCAUCUAGUACAAUGGCAAAAGUGAAAAACAUGGAAAAACUUCAGUUGAUGCUAAAGCUCUUACUAAAACAAAACAUAUGAGAAGAAGAAAGAAGAUAUCUAAGUUACAACACGAUUAUAUAUUGGGGAAUUAUCCUGUUGGAAGGGACGAUGCGGCAUAGUUAUGUGCACUGCAGAUAUUGGUUGAAAUUGGAUAUGUUAACAACCUCGAAUCCUGCACUGAUUGGGCGUCUCUCCUACAGCAAUUUUUACCCGUUGAAUUUCAAUAAAAGUUCAGGACUUGCAAGAAGAUGUUGUGUGCUCGUUCCUUUAUCCGUCAAAUCCUCUUUCACCCAUCAUUGAACACAAAAGUUUCUCCCGUUUUGUGCUGUUACUGACAUUGACACCAGCGGCAUCCACCCUUGGAAGAGCUGCACAGUAGCCUACAGAAAAGUAAUGUUCAGAAAAAUUUCAGUUGAUGCUAAGGCUCGUACUAAAACAAAACAUAUGAGAAGAAUUUGAAGAUAUCUAAGAGGCCUUCUAUGCAGGGAAGAAAAUCUGAAGCUCAAGAUUUGGAACAUCAAAGAUUCCCUAUUCACUGGAAAUUCUUGCAAGUUUGAGACAAUUUAUAUUUGUCAGUUAUCACUCAGUCGUGGACUCAUGGAAGUUGAUUUGAGUUCUGAACUCAUUUGCAUCCAUGAUGCUGGGAGACCUCUAGUAUUGGCAGGAGAUGUAUAAAAGGUCAUAAAGGAUAUGAUGGUUGGCUUGUUGGAGCAGCAGUUCUUGGGGUUCCUGCUAAAUCAAUAAUUAAAGAGGCAAAUAAUGAAUCAUUUGUUGUGAGAACUCUUAACCGGAAAACCCUCUGGGAAAUGCAAACUCCACCGGAAACAGUGACUGACUUGAAGUAAAAACAACUAGAAAUGGCAGAAAGAACAGUGUGGUUGAAGACCACUGGUGGCGUGACGAUACACAGCCUCCCUCCAAUCAGUCCGAUGAUAAUACACUAUUCUCCCACUCUAAUCAAGAUUAGAUAGUGCAUUAUUUGAAUGUUUUGAAAAUGUAUUUUGGAUGCUGAAACAAUUGCUACAAAACCUUAUUAGCAUGCAUGUUUAACUAAUAUUUUGACAAAUGUAUGUUUGAUGGUGAAACAAUUGCUACACUUUGAUUUAAAUGAUUGACUAAUGUUUGAUUUCCUUAAAUUGUUAAUUGUAUUGUAGAAUUUAAUAUUGUGGUGUUGAAAUUUGUAUAAUUGUAACAGGUCUAAUUCA